UCCAGAAGAUGACAUUUUCCAGAGCUGCAUGGUGAGAGAAUCCACACCUACCACUUCAUGGCAGGUCUUUGUGCUUUAAAGUGUUGAGGCUACACAGAGGCACAUCUAUAAUGUCCUGAUGUACUCAUUGGUACAGGUGGAAGACAAAGAUUUAAAACUGGUAUUUCAGUUUGCCAUGCAGAAAGACUAUCUAGUAAGUAAUCGAGUCAUGGCUGUCUGAAUGGAAAAGAACAAUUCAGCAACAGGCCCAGGGUUCUUCAUCCUCAGCCUUACUGUCAUCUUCUGCAGUACCAGCCUUUCCUGAGACUUUGAUGUUGGAAAUGGGCCUUAUCCAUUGUCCGGAACUAUGGAGAGAAAGACAGCAUGAGCAAUGGGUGCUGCUGUAGUUGAUCUACGCCUGAGCUGUCCCACCAAAAUCACACAUACUGGCCUUCAUUGUUUUUGUUACAAAAUACAAUCAAUGCAGCAGACCAAGACCCUGCAGUGGCCACAUCAUUAUUACCACACCCAAGAUAAUGGAGACAUCACCCAGAUCUCAGCUGGGUCCUGUCCUGUCAUCCAAGCAACAGCUGUCCUGAAUUAAACUCAUAAACAGUCAUUCUGGUAAGGCAGAAUAUUGUUCAGAUUAGGAAAUGUGUAAGGAAAAUAUUGCUUUAUAGAUCCAUUUUUGAAAAGUUAAUAUUUCUGUAUGAAAUGAGUUUAAUACACUUUAAUAACACCAACCAAAUAUGUUGGAAUAUAUUUGGAUAUAGUUAUUAGAAUUCAGGUAGAUUAAUGUAACUCUCUAGGAGAUAGUCUUCAAAAUUAGCCUGGCAAUACAAAGCAUUUACUUUCUAUACUCUUCCGCAUUCUUCCAGCACAUAUCUGUGCUGCAAUUUGCCAUGUAAAAUAUUCACAUUAUUACCUUAACUACCAUGUUCUUUAAUCUAGAGUGGGAUGUGACAGGGAGUUU